UACGGAGGAUGCGAGCGUUAUCCGGAAUCAUUGGGUUUAAAGGGUAGCGUAGGCUGGUAUUUAAGUCAGUGGUGAAAUUUUUCGUGCUUAACAUGAGAGCUGCCAUUGAUACUGGAUACCUUGAGUGUAUUUGAUGUGGGCGGAAUGUGUUGUGUAGCGGUGAAAUGCAUAGAUAUGACACAGAACACCGAUAGCGAAGGCAGCUCACAAAGUUACAACUGACGCUGAUGCACGAAAGCGUGGGGAUCAAACAGG
rnacentral:rRNA from 1 species